rnacentral:lncRNA from 1 species
CACGCAGACAAAAGAGAAAAGAUACAGAUAAUUUCAGCAACGAAAUAUACGAACUUGGUUAUAUAUACACACCAGCAGACACUGAGGGGGUCCCCUCUAGGACCACGUGGUACCAAAUCUCAUAGUAUCGGGUGGUUAUCCCCAAUAGCCCUGGAGAUUACAUCAUUACAACAAAGUGAUGAACUUGGAAUUGCUGUAUCCAACUCUAGAAAACAAAAGGGAGAGAGAAUUUUCUGGUCCAAAAUGUCAGUGAUAACCAGGUUGAGAAGUCCUGCUCUAAACUGACGGGUGGGAAAUGUUUUGACUCAGGUGCUUCAAUCUCUCUCUCUCUCUCUAUUUCUUCUUCUUCUUCUUCUUCUUCUUUUUGAGGAAGAUUAGCCCGGAGCUAACACCUGCCACCAAUCCUCCUCUCUCUCUCUUUUUUUUUUUUUGCUGAGGAAGACUGGCCCUGAGCUAACAUCUGUGCCCGUCUUCCUCUAUUUUAUGUGGGACACCUGCCACAGCAUGGCUUGCCAAGCGGUGGGUAGGUCCGCACCCAGGAUCUGAACCAGCAAACCCUGGGCUGCUGAAGCAGAAUGUGUGAACUUAACCGCUGCGCCACAGGGCUGGCCCCAUAUUUCUUCUUAUUAUUAUUUUUAUUUUGUUUAGCCCUUUGGGAGUACAUUGUAGACAUCGUGACUCUUUGCCCCUAAAUACCUCAGUACCCUCUGUAUAAUCACAGAACACAUUUGAUACAGUACAAUUAUCUUGUGUACGAUUUAUGUUCAGAUGUUGCCCAUUGUCCCGACAGUACCGUGGCAGUGUUUUUUUCCCCCAUCUGAAAUGCAGCCCAGGAUUAAGUCUGCAUUCAGUUGUCCUGUCUCUUUUCUCUCCUCUAAUCUGGAACAGUUACUUCCCCAGCCCUCUGUGUCUUUCGCGACCUUGACAUUUCUGCAGAACACAAGCCCAUUGUUUUGUCGAGCGUCCUUGUCCUUGGAUGUGGUUUGUCGGGUUGCUUCCUCAUGAUCAGCUCCAGGUCCUGCGUUUUUGGCAGGAAAGUCUGGCAGGGCCGCCAAGGUCUCAGUGCUCACGGCGGGAGGCACGUGACAUCCGAUGGUCCCAAAUGUUCUCUUUGCUGAACUGGUAUCUGCCGGAUUUCUCCACUGUGAAGUACGCUUUCCCUUCGGGGAUUAAUAAGUAACACGGAAACGGGUGCUUUGAGGCCGAGGACAUUCCUGCCCACCCACAACGGACUUCUCCCCGCUGACGCUUCUCACCUAAAUCAGGUUUUACUCUCAUGGAGCCAAAUGAUUUUCUAACUCCAUCAUUCCUUGAGGCUUCUGACUUGACGAUUCCUCCGCACCCACUGGUGACAAUGAAUGCGUUUUUCCUACGACAGUAGUCAGGUUGUUCCCACAUCUUGGCUGUCGUGAAUAGUGCUACAGCAAACAUCAAACUAAAAAGCUUCCACCCAGCAAAGGAGACAAUCAACAGAGUGAAAAGGCAACUACAGAGUGGGAGAAGAUAUUUACCAACCAUGUGUCUGAUAAGGGGUAUAUAGCCAAAGUACAUAAGGAACUCCUACAACUCCACAGCAAAAAAUUGAAUAACUCAAUUGAAAAAUGGACUAAGGAGUUGAAUUUUUCCAAAGAAGACACACAAGUGGCCAACAGGUACAUGAAAAGAUGCUCAACGUCACUGAUCAUCAGGGAAAUGCAAAUCAAAACAUUAUACCUGUGAGGAUGGUUGUUACCAAAAAAACAAAGACAAGUGUUGGUGAGGAUGUAGAGAAAUUGAAACCCUCACACACUGUUGAUGGGGAUGCAAAAUGAUGCGGUCGCUAUGGAAGAUAGUAUGGAGGCUACUCAAGAAGUUAAAAGUUGACUACCAUAUGAUCCAGCCACCCCACUUCUGGGUAGUUAUCUGCAAGAGCUGAAACCAGGCUUUCUUUUGCAGUGGGCAGUACUCUCCUUCCCCAGGUGCCCACUGUCCAGAGGUCCCUGCCUUUCUCCUGCACUACCUGCCUCGGGCCUGGGGCCUUUGCUGGGGUGCUCAGGAGCUUCUGAGGGUGGGAUUAACAGGCACUGAAGCUCGGUCACCUCCACAACUUCUAAGUCGGGUUUCUCACCAACGAUGUGAAGAUUUCAUGGAACAAGGGGCCUCUGCCGCCACCUGCUGGGCACCUGGGGAAAGGGCUCUUACGCCCCAAGGAGCCCUUCCUGCUGUCUGGGCAUUUAUAAAUGCAUGCCAGCAAUAGCAAUAACAAUAGCUGUGAUUUAUUAAAUGAUUAUCAGACAUUGUACCAAGUGCUUUCAAGACACGAUGUCUUAAUCUCCAACAGCCUUGAAAUGUGGCUGCCUUAUCCUCAUGUAUUUAUAUAGAGAGAUGAGGAAGCAUGCUCAGCAAGAGAAAGAAUGGUCAACAUCACACAGCCAGCGACUGGCCAGUGGAUUCGAACCCAGGUCUGUCUGGCCCCAAACUGGGGCUGAGCAGCGUCCUGGAGAAAGGCAGAGAGGGAGCGAGAGGGUGGGCAGGAGAGGCUGGAGGGCCGUAGAAGGUUCUGGAAACUACUCCUGGUGCCCUUCCCGGGAAGGUCCACUCACAGCUACUCCCUCUCUGGAUGCCCAGGGCCUUGCUCUGAGUCCUCCUCAGCACAUCCUUCUGCCCACCUUGGGCGUGCACUCCCUCACCCAGCAUCACAGCUGGGGAAACUGAGGCUCCAGAGGUGGAGAAUCUAGACCAUGGAUUCCAGGGAGUGUGGGGCAGAGGGGAGACUGAGCCCAGGCCCUGAGCCCAGUGCUGGGGGGACCCAAGUGAACAACCUGAAACAGGGAAGGCGACCUGAGCCCAAGUUUCUGUCCACGUCAACUCCUCACGAUCCGGGGCCCACAGGGCAGGUGGGCAUAGGGGCUGGGAGACCCUCUGUGGGAUAGAUUCCCGGUGCGCACUCUGAAUGAUGGCCUUGCCACCGUCAAGGGCCCUGCCUGUCCGUCAGGAGGCCUCUCCAAGGGAGGGCCUGCCACGAUGUCGGAGCAGCACUCUUUUCUGGCUCUGCCACUUCCCAGCUCUGUGAUCUUGGGCAACUUCCUUCAGCUUUCCGAGCCUCAGUUUACCCUUCUGUAAAAUGGGACUAAUCGCAGUCUCUACCUCUUCGAGCUGGAUUGGGAACCAAGUGACAACCCAUACGUAAAGCCCUGAGUGCUCAGGAAGCACUUGAUAAAUGGCAUCACUAGGGACCCCCACAGACACACACUAGCCAGGUCUCAAUGCCUCUGCCAGGCUGAGAAGCAGGCGUUGUGGGAUGCCUCUGCAGGGGAAACUGAGUCACUAGGUCAGGAAGUGCCUGGGCCUAGGCUUCAGCUUGAGUCACAGGCCUAAUGCUGGGAAACCUCCCUGCAGCCACCUCCAGAAAUGCUUCGUGCCUCUGUCUGGCGGCCUCAGAGCCUCCACCCCGUGUCACCAGCCAGGGGACCUUCCCCCAAGGAGCCCCC